rnacentral:rRNA from 1 species
UCCUUUUGUAGAUAAUUUAAGGUCUAGCCUGCCCACUGAAAUUUUAAAUGGCCGUGGUAUUUUGACCGCGCUAAGGUAGCAUAAUCAUUAGUUUUUUAAUUAAAAACUGGAAUGAAAGGUUGGAUGAGAAAAUAGCUGUCUCUAUUAAAUUUAAUUAGAAUUUUAUUUUUAAGUUAAAAAGCUUAAUUAUUAUUAAAAGACGAGAAGACCCUAUAGAGUUUAAUUAUUUAGUAAAAAUUAUAUUUUAGUAUUAAUUUAUUUAUUUUAUUAAAUAAUUUAGUUGGGGUGAUUGAAAAAUUUAAUUAACUUUUUUUAUUUAAGAACAUUAAUUUAUGAAUAAAUGAUCCAAUAUUUUUGAUUAUAAGAUAAAAUUACCUUAGGGAUAACAGCGUAAUUUUUUUAGAAAGUUCAUAUUAAAAAAAAAGAUUGCGACCUCGAUGUUGGAUUAAAAUAAAUUUUUGGUGUAGAAGCUAAAAUAUUAGGUCUGUUCGACCUUUAAAAUUUUACAUGAU